rnacentral:lncRNA from 1 species
UGCCUGUGUGUGCAUGCGUGUGUGUGUGUGUGUGUGUGUGCGCGCGCGCGGUACUGGAGAUCAAACCCAGGGGCUCUCCACCACUGAGCUAUAUCUGCAGCACUUUAUUUAUUUAUUUAUUACUGGGGAUUGAACUCAGGACCUUGCACUUGUGAAGAGGGUGUGGCACCACUGAGCUACAUCCCUGGCCCUGACUUUAUUUUUGGUUUUUUUGGUACUGGGGAUCGAACUUGGGUCCUUGCACUUGCACAGCAGGCGGCGAAACCACUGAGCUAAAUCCCGGCCCCCUGACUUUAUUUUUUAUUUAACAGGACCUUGCAAAGUUUCCCAGGCAAGAUUCAAACUCUUGAUCCUCCUGCCUCAGCUUCUUGAGUAGCUGGAGUAACAGACAUGUGCCACCAUGACUAGCUCUUAUUCCUAUUUUAUAGAUUAGGACAGUGAGGUUUAUCAAUAUGAAGUAACUUGCCCGGUUGGUAGAUUUGAAAUUCAAAUGCAUCUGAUUUGACCUUAUGUAGCUCUUGUUCUCAAUCACCUUUUGUGAUGCAGGCAGCCAUUCAAGGAACACCUCCACCUGUGUGACUGAGAUGUGUAUGGAGACAGUAGCCUGUGACUCUGAAGGAGGCCAGCUGAUUCUGCAGCUGAGGGCAAAGAGUAGAGAGAUUUAGGGAGAAAGAGACAGCACGGGCUCUUUUCCAGGGUCCCAGUGAAGCCAGAGCUGCAAUGGCUAGUGAGUUUGGAUGACUCAGGAAGAGCCAGGCCUGAGGUACUAGGAUGCAGAGAGGAGAGGAAGGAGUGCAAGGAGGGACCCAAGCUGUGGAGAGGAGUGGUCCUGGAGACUGUGAGAAGCCAGAAUUCAACAGUGAAGAUGACGCUGAACCAGCACUGGGUGGGAGGCCUGUGUGCCUCUCCUGCUUCACAUUCGG